rnacentral:lncRNA from 1 species
UUUCAAAUUCCCAUGAUAAUGUUUCAAUACUCCAUAUUAUAUUGUGAUUAACAAAAGAGAGCAUGAAUUUGAAAUAAAUAUUGUUCACCACUUGUAAAUGAUGAAGCACCUUGAUUUUUACAUGAUUAUGCAUAUGUGGAUGUGAUAUUGAUGACUUGCAAGUCGGGUAUGACGAUACCCUACAGAAUACGAUAUGCGAUUGAAUAAGAUGAAAUUUGAAUGCAUUGAUUUUACAUAAGAAAUGUGGAUGCCCGAAGAAGGCGUUUAAGACACAAGCGGCUCAU